rnacentral:tRNA from 3 species
GGGCGAUUGGCGCAGUUGGCUAGCGCGCAUCCAUGACACGGAUGAGGUCACUGGUUCGAGCCCAGUAUCGCUCA